UAGGGAAUAUUCCACAAUGAGCGAAAGCUUGAUGGAGCGACACAGCGUGCACGAUGAAGGUAUUCGGAUUGUAAAGUGCUGUUAUAAGGGAAGAACAUUUGCAAUAGGAAAUGAUUGCAGACUGACGGUACCUUGUCAGAAAGCGAUGGCUAACUAUGUGCCAGCAGCCGCGGUAAUACAUAGGUCGCAAGCGUUAUCCGGAAUUAUUGGGCGUAAAGCGUUCGUAGGCUGUUUGUUAAGUCUGGAGUUAAAUCCCGGGGCUCAACCCCGGCUCGCUUUGGAUACUAGCAAACUAGAGUUAGAUAGAGGUAAGCGGAAUUCCAUGUGAAGCGGUGAAAUGCGUAGAUAUAUGGAAGAACACCAAAGGCGAAGGCGGCUUACUGGGUCUAUACUGACGCUGAGGGACGAAAGCGUGGGGAGCAAACAGG
rnacentral:rRNA from 1 species